rnacentral:rRNA from 1 species
UACGUAGGGGGCAAGCGUUGUCCGGAAUUAUUGGGCGUAAAGAGCGUGUAGGCGGUCCGGUAAGUCAGCUGUGAAAGUCAAGGGCUCAACCCUUGAAUGCCGGUUGAUACUGUCGGGCUAGAGUCCGGAAGAGGCGAGUGGAAUUCCCGGUGUAGCGGUGAAAUGCGCAGAUAUCGGGAGGAACACCGAUGGCGAAGGCAGGUCUCUGGGCCGAUACUGACGCUGAGGAGCGAAAGCGUGGGGAGCGAACAGG